GGGGGAUUCACUGUUAUACUUGGAGGCCAUGUCACCUGAGAGUCAAUGGGCAACGAUCAAAUUUCACCUUGAGCAGAUUCUUUUGUUUGCUUUUUAGUCACAAAUAGCUUGGCCCUAAGUGGUGGCUCCCAUUCUUGUAAGAUGCGUUUAUUCAUCGUGUAAUCACCAGUUCCCUGUAGUGGGGGCGUGGAUGGAGUGUCAGAGGCUCCUGCUGGUCUUUAGGGUGUCUGGCCUCCAGGAAUCCUAGAGUAAAUUGGGAACUACAGCACUCGAUGUUAGAGUUGUCGUGAAGAUUAAAGAAGGUGACGACUGGACAACUCCCAGCCCAAUACCUGAAACUGUACCAGCACCCAGUGAGCACUGCUAUUCCUGUGACUGCUGCACAUUUGCCUUAUCUCAGCAGUAUGCCUGUGUCACUUUUUUGGCACUCUUUUCUCAUGGGUACAUUCAGAGAAGAGGAAUGUUUGUUCACUGGUGAAGAGAACAUCCCGUGUACUAUCGUGUAGAAGUUGUAGUAGACGCUGUGGUCUUUCCAACAACAAACAAACUGCUGGGACAGGACCCAGGAGGUUCCGGAGGAUCAGGAGGUCCACCUGGGAGAAGAGCUGAUCGGCUAGUAGGAGAGCUGGAAAAGCAACAGACACCUACUUAGUCCCUUCCCUGGGGCCCGGCUCCAGUCUGAGCUGUCACGCCACAGCAAAGGCAUCACUUCAGGACAGCAAAGCCCCUGUCUCCCUCCCUUCCAGCUCCUCAGACUUCACCCUGGUAACACGUUUGUUUAAAAAACAUAUUUUUCCCCCUUGUAAAGAAUCUAGGAUACAAGGGGUCAGCCCAGCAGUUUAGGUAUCAAGAAGAAACUGCUCUCGGAGCUAAAGUAAGAAACAGUGCCUGUCUAUAGCGCAAAUAAAGAGUUGGAACAAGA
rnacentral:lncRNA from 1 species